GACGAACGCUGGCGGCGUGCUUUAUACAUGCAAGUAGAACGCAGUUGCGAACGGGUGAGUAACGCGUAGGUAACUGCCUCAUAGCGGGGGAUAACUAUUGGAAACGAUAGCUAAUACCGCAUACUGUGCGAUGGACCUGCGUUGGAUUAGGUAGUUGGGGAGGUAAAGGCGCACCAAGGCCACGAUACCUAUCCGAGCUGAGCGGGGUAUCGGCCACACUGGGACGUGGACACGGGCCAGGCUCCUAAGGGGAGUAGCGGGAGGGGAUCUUCGGCAAUGGACGGAAGUCUUGCCGAGGAACGCCGCGGUAGUGAAGAAGGUUUUCGGAUCGUAAAGCUCUGUUGUUAGAGGAGCGGUAACUAACCAGAAAGGGACGGCUAACUACGUGCCAGCAGCCGCGGUAAUAC
rnacentral:rRNA from 1 species